rnacentral:rRNA from 1 species
CAGCCGUAAACGAUACUCGCUAGGUGUCGGCCACGGUGCGACCGUUGUCGGUGCCGUAGGGAAGCCGUGAAGCGAGCCACCUGGGAAGUACGGCCGCAAGGCUGAAACUUAAAGGAAUUGGCGGGGGAGCACCACAACGGGUGGAACUUGCGGUUUAAUUGGAUUCAACGCCGGAAAUCUUACCGGGACCGACAGCAACAUGAAGGCCAAGCUGAAGACUUUGCCGGAUUAGCUGAGAGGUGGUGCAUGGCGUAGUCGUGU